rnacentral:rRNA from 1 species
CGGAGGAGUCCAAGCGUUAUCCGGAAUCAUUGGGUUUAAAGGGUCCGUAGGCGGUCCUGUAAGUCAGUGGUGAAAGCCCAUCGCUCAACGGUGGAACGGCCAUUGAUACUGCAGGACUUGAAUUACUGGGAAGCAACUAGAAUAUGUAGUGUAGCGGUGAAAUGCUUAGAGAUUACAUGGAAUACCAAUUGCGAAGGCAGGUUGCUACCGGUGGAUUGACGCUGAUGGACGAAAGCGUGGGUAGCGAACAGGAUUAGAUACCCUGGUAGUCCACGCCGUAAACGAUGGAUACUAGCUGUUGGGAGCGAUCUCAGUGGCUAAGCGAAAGUGAUAAGUAUCCCACCUGGGGAGUACGAACGCAAGUUUG